rnacentral:lncRNA from 1 species
AAGUUUUUCUACCCCCACAUCCAAAUCACUUUCGAUGAAUACGGCAGAGGUCAUUUCAUGCGCCAUGAAUUCUACACCGCCAUCGAGACCUACCUCAGCUCCAAUACCGCCGACCAAGCCAACAGCCUCAAAGCCAACACCGCCAAAAACAACCAGUCACUGGUUCUCACCAUUGAUGACGGUGAAGAGGUUGAAGAUGAGUUUGAGGGAGUGAAGCUGUGGUGGACUUCAAGGACGAUCACAGCCGAAACUCAGACCUCCCGCUCCUAUGAGCAGCCGGAUGAGAAGAGGUACUACCGGCUGACUUUCCACAAGAAACACCGGGAUUUGAUCACCAAGAAGUACCUCAGUCAUGUGUUGAGGGUAGGGAAGGCGAUUAAGGUCAGAACCCGGCAGCGGAAGCUUUAUACCAACAGUUGGUCGAUGUGGAGCCAUGUGGUCUUUGAUCACCCUGCAACUUUUCAAACUCUUGCCAUGGAGGCUGAUAAGAAGAGGGAGGUGAUCGAGGACUUGGUUUCUUUCAGCAAGGCUGAGGAUUUCUACGCAAGAAUUGGGAAAGCUUGGAAGCGGGGUUACCUCCUUUAUGGCCCUCCAGGGACGGGAAAAUCUACCAUGAUUGCUGCCAUGGCGAAUCUGUUGCUGUACGACGUCUAUGAUCUUGAACUGACGGCGGUCAGUGACAACACCGAGCUGAGGAAGCUGCUGAUGCAGAUUCCGAGCAAGUCCAUCACUGUGAUUGAGGACAUCGACUGCUCCCUCAACUUGACGGGUCAGAGGAAGAAGAUGAAGGAGAACAAGGCGGCCGAGGAGGAAGAGAAGGACCCCAUUAAAAAACAAGCGAAGGUAGGAGACUCUGAUGAAGGGAAAACCAGCAAGGUGACUCUUUCCGGGCUGUUGAACUUCAUUGACGGCCUUUGGUCGGCCUCAAAGGGGGAAAGGCUAAUAGCGUUCACGACGAACCACAUGGAGAAGCUCGACCCAGCUCUGAUUCGGCGAGGAAGGAUGGACAAGCACAUCGAAUUAUCAUACUGUAGCUUUGAAUCAUUCAAGGUGCUGGCUAAGAACUAUCUGGAGCUUGAUUCCCACUACCUGUUCGACACGAUUGAGAGGCUGUUGGGGGAAAGUAAAGUGACCCCAGCUGAUGUUGCUGAGCAUUUGAUGCGUAAGAAUACAAGUGUGGCUGAUGCUGAAACAAGCUUGAAGAGCCUGGUUCAGGCAUUGGAGAUGGCCAAGAAAGAAGCAAUGUUGAAGGCCAAGGAAGAAGGCAAAGAGGAGUCAUCUGCUAGGGAAGAAGAUUGAUGAUCACUGACAAUAGAGACUGUGAUUGUGUUUAUCAUUCUGAAUUAAUUCCUGGGAAUUAUGAAAUAUUGGUCAAGUUAAUAGUUUGGUAAUUGAGGUUAAUGGGAAAUGCAUAUGGUGACCAAUUCUGAAGAUCUUUUCUAGGGCUUAAGACAUGGGAAAGGACUAGAGAAAUGAGAGAUGAAGAUAUUGGGAGGAAAGGAUAAGAGAAAUGAAAGGGGGAAGUUUGUGCCUAAUGAAUAUUUUUACAACGGAAGAAUGAAUGCCGAACACUUCUUUUAUGGAAAUUGAACAAGUUAGUAAUAUAAACAUUGUUCGAGCCCUUUGAUAGUGAUUUUAAAAAAUAUUUUUAAUAUUUAAAAAAUUUUAUUAUUCAAGUUUUAAAAAUAUUAAAAACGUUUUCUACUAACCUUAUCAAACAUAUUUUUCAUUUACUAAUAAAAAAAAGUGUUUUUCAAUAGUUGCAAUCAUACUUGGUUUGACUAUGCUUUUAGAUAACAUAUAUAAUAUCAAUAACAUUUAUCAAGAAAUCAAACAUUUGAAAAGAUUAAUAUUUUGAAAGUAAGGUAAAUAUCUAUUUUUUAAUAUAUUUUUAUAAUAUAAUAAGGCCUAUGAUUUAAUAAUUUAAAAUUUUAAAAAUGAAUUUUAACCAUAUUAAAUAAAAAAAUAAUAUUAAAAUAAUUUAUUUAAGUUGUUUAAUUCCAUAUGGAAAAAAAGAUUAAAUUUUUUUGAAUUAUUUAAUUUUUAUAUAAAAGAGAAAAAUAAAUAAAUUAUUUUUAGAAAUCAAAUUAUAAUUGGAAAUUAAAUAUGAAAAACAUUUUUUUGAAUUUUUUUUGUAUAAACAUAUUAUAAAUUUAGCAUAGUAUAAAAAUACUCAAUCUUACUUAAUUUAAAGUUCAUUAAUUUUUUUUAAAAAAAUAUAAUUAUAUGUAAAGGGAAAAACUAAUAAACUUAUUCAAAUUGAAUUUUGGUUUCUAACUUUUUAAUGUUAACUGUAUCAAUUUUGAGUUCAUAACUGUAGUAUUAAUUGAUUCGAUUUUAAAAUUUUAAAUUAUUUUUAAAAAUUAAUGAAUUUUAUAUAUAAAGUCUUACUUGAUUUGUCUUAAGAAAAAGAAAAAAUAGAUAAGUUAAAGGAGAAUUUUAUUAAAAUACAUAUAAUUUAAAGUGAGACCAUAUUUAAAGAUUUUCUGUAUCAUUAUUGGGUAAUGAAGGAAAAUGUAUGAAGAAAGAUACAAUGCUAUACUAUUUUUUGCUUUUUAUGAUUUUUUUUUUCUAAAUUUUUCUUUUCUUUUUAAUAACUAGUGAAAACAAAUUUUAUUUAUCUUUUAAAAAUUAUUUUCUAUUUCCCUUGUUUCUAAAAACAGUUAAAACAAGCACUUUUUGGAUGCAACACCUAGAAGGACAAUCUCCUCCUAGCUUCCUUCCUUCAUGGCUUCCCAUUAGUAGCCUAUGGUUUAACCAAUGACCGUUUGCAUAUGGCAUAAAAAUAAAAGAAAGAAAAAACAUUAAACUUAGAGUUGUUAGUUGCUCAAUAAACCUUUUGUGUAGGUUCCUAAACUUAUAUUUUGUUUUUGAGAAGUAAUAACGUUAUGUUUGAUUUCUGAAAGUAUAAAAAUCAAAAACUAAGAAAAAUGACUUUCUCGUGUUGGAUUUAUAAUAAAAAAUACAAAAAUAAAAUAAAAUAACUAAAAUAAGUUAAAAAUGUAUUUAUUUUGAAAAUAUUUAAUCUUUAUAAAAAAAGAAAAAAAUUAAAAUGAGUUUAAAGAAAUAUAUAAAAAUGAAUAUUAACAUUAAUUUUUAUUUUUAUUUUUUUCUCUUAUAUUUUUUUCUCAAAAUUUCUAAAAUCCAAGUAGAGUAUAAAGGAAAUAAAAAUUAUUUUCUCACUAUGUAUCAUACAAAAUACGAGAGAAAAUAAAAUAUAAUUAAAAAUAAUUAAAACUUAUAUGUCUUGAAAUUAUUUAAUUUUUUUUUAUAUAAACCAUGAAAAAUAAGUGAAAUAAGUUUUAAAAAUAUAUAAAAUAAUUUAUUAAAUUUAAAUUUAUUUUUUAUUUUCUUUAAUAUUUUCUUUAAUGCAAAAUACCUGCAGAUAGAAUUUCCUCAAGGAUGGCAUAGAGUGGAAUGCUCCAUGAAGUGUGGCCCACGCAGGCCCAACGUCACAAUCAAGGACCAUGCCGUCCCGAGCCCAAGCCCAAGUCCAAGCUAAACCGAAAGCUAAGGGAGGGCCCAAUCCGAGGAACAUAGCCCAUCAUGGAAUCUAAAACCAACCCAUGAAUUAAUGGCUCGUGCUCAAUUGCUAAUUCAUGAUUAACCAUUGUUUUAGUUGCCAACAAAGGUUAAGCCCUGAGUCAAUUUGUGCUAAUCCCAUCCGCACAACAAUUUUGACCAAAAUACCAUUUUUUUAAUAUUUAUUUAAGCAUGAUAUAUUUUCAAAACUAAUAAUUAACUUACAUAACUUUUUGAGAAAUUAAUUGAAAAUCGACAUCAAUUCAAAUAUUGAAGCUGGUCGGCUUUUCAACUUUUUCCACUUUUUUUGACUCUAAUCGAUAAUAAUUGAAUUAGACAAAAUUCUAAGAUUUUAAUAUAUAUAUAUAUAUAUAUAUAUAUAUUUUUAAUAACUAUGGAUGUCCGGAGCAGCUUAUGUUGGUCUGGACUAAUCCCAUGAGGUCCUGAAGUUAAGGGCCUGAAGUUAAGGGUGAGAAAUUAACUGAAAAUCGACAUCAAUUCAAAUAUUGAAGUUGGUCGGCCUUUUAACUUUUUCCGCUUUUUUUUUUUACUCUAACCGAUAAUAAUUGAAUUAGACAAAUAUUCUAAGAUUUUAAUAUGUUUUUUUAUUAUUUAUUUAAUAAUUGUGGAUGUCCGGAGCAGCUUAUGCUGGCAUGGACUAAUCCCAUGGGGCUCUGAAGUUAAGGGUCGGGUAAACCUCCAAUGGCCCUAAGGGGACUUGAACUGGUGACCAUUGGAGAGCAAAUCCAAGGUCGGACCAACAAAGUUACUCCCUAAGAUUAUAAAAUUUUCAUAUCUUAUUUGAUGUUUGACGAAUUUUUUUAUUAUUUAUUAGUAUAUAUAUUUGUAAAUACUAUUAAAAUAAUUCAUUGUUGCUAGACUAUAUUCAAAUUAAUUUGUAAGUACAUUUAUUAUAUUUCAAACUAAAAACUUUAAGGUUACGUUUGGUUCCGAAAAGUAUAAGAGAAAGAAAAAAAAAUGUUGGGUUAUAUUUGGUUUUUGAAAAAUGCUGUAGAAAGAAAAAAGUAUUAAAGUAAAUUAUUUUUUCAUAUUAGGUUUUAUUAUAGAAAAUAUAAAAGAAAAUUAAAUAUAAUUAAAAUUAAUUUGAAAUUUACAUGUUUUUAAAUUAUUUAAUUUUACUAUAAUGGAGAGAAAAAAGUAAAAUGAGUUUAAAGAAAUGUAUAAAAAUAAUUUAUUAAAUUAUUUUUUUUUCUUCACUUUUUUUUUUUUUACUUUUCCUCUCUAUUUUAUUUUCUUCACAUUUUCUUGAGAAUUUUAUGGGAACGGAACAUAACUUUAAUGAAAUCAAAUAUUUAGCCCCGCAUUAAUAUUCGAGAUACAUUUUCAAAAUUCAUAUUUUUGUUCAUAAACAUUAUGCAUUAUAUUAUUGUCGAGCAUCAUAAGUUAUACAUAUUAAUUUUUUAAUAUAACGACUUCAAUAUAUCUAUUAUAAUUAUUUGUUUUAUCAUUUUUAGAAGUUUUUUUUUAAUUAAAGAAACAUAAAUAAAAAUAACAAAUGAGAAGAACACGAGAACUAUUUGAUAAAAUUUUAUAUUUGGUCACCUGUAUUUAAUCCAAUCAAAUUAACCUUUUACAUAAAAGGUCUGACUACAAUAUUGAAGGUACUUUAAAAAAACAUUAUCAAUCAAAUAAUACCGUAUAUAUAAAUUAUGGUCUCACUAUUUAUACUUUGGUUUUAUUUGUUUGUAUUUUUAUAUUUUUAUGAUAUUCAUAUGUAUACUCUUGUUUAAUGAUUUAAAUUUCAUUAUUUAUAUUUUGACGAUUAUUUAUAUUAAAGAGCAUGAUAUGAAUAUCGAAUUUAAACGAGAUAAGUUAAGGUUUUUAGAAAAAUUGAGAGAUGAACGUGGCAUUAGGAUUUGGUAGACGUGAACCUCAUGGGUUUGAACCACCAUCUCUAGAUGGAUUGCAACAUGAUGUAGUGCCAUGACACAUUGAAAUGACGCAAUGACUGCCGUCCAUUCACUUGCUAACUAGUCAGCUACAACACUCCCCAUUUAUUAAAUUAGAUAUAGAGAAGAUACAAAUUUCUCAAAGGUCGGUCAUAUUUAAUAAUAAUAAUAAUAAAUGUCACAGCAUUUCCAUCCACCUUUUUUCACACCUAUUGGUAAGGGUAGGAGCGUGGCUGACUCGACCUCAUCUUCCUAGUGGGCACCAGCGGACAAAGCUCCACUCGAUUACGAAGAACCAACUAUAGUGUGAGACAGGCCUAUUCGUUUGGUCAUGGAGUGGAUGUUUCGACUUGGAAGGAAAAAAAGGGAGGAAGGGAGGAGGACCCACAGUCCAGUGUCGUCGAAAUAUGGUCUAUAUGAGUUGCAUGUAUGGCACCCUAGCUGUAUUUUUUCACGAGGCAGAGAAUAUUUCCAGCGACUUUGAAGUCGUUUUCCACUCGUAUAUGGCAGCAGGGAGUGGUGGGUGCAAAUGACUCAUCUUUGAUGGGAUGUGCCGGGAAAGUCGUGUGAAUCCAAGAUUUAUAAAUAUAUAAAGUUACCAAGCUUUGGUCAUGUUUGCUAACUUUGCUGCCAAGUUGAUAGAAAAUAGAUGGCUUUAAGUACGUUUUCUAGUUGUUUUUAUUUCUUUUUGGAUAAUUAAUUUAAAAUAUAUAUAUAUAUAUAUAUAUAAUUUACAAAAACAUUUCAAGUUACUAAAUAAACUUUUAUUCUGUAAAACAUUCUUUCAAAAAAUUAUGAUGGUGUUUGGUAAUGGUUUUUUAAAAUAAUUUUGAAAAAUGGUUUUUUUAGAAAAUUGUUAUUUGAUUUUUUGUAAAACAAAAAUUUGUUUCGAAAUCUAAAAUGUUUUUAAUCUAUUUUUAAUAUUUUAAAAAUAUUUUUUCUUUAUAUCUAAAACUUUAUUUUUAAUCAUUAUAAAUGUUUGUAUGAGUAUUUUUUUAAAACAGUUCUUAAAAAAUAAAUGAAAACAAUUAAAAAAAAACUAAAAGAUGUUUUAUAAAAAUAAAAAAUUAUUCUAAAAAAUAGUUAUUAAAUAAAACCUUUACUUUGAUAUAAAAACAAAAUAACGAAGGAGAAAGAAGAGGCACUAAAAAGGUUUAUUUGAUGAAAAAGUUCAUUGAAAAUAAUGAUUUUCCUUCUUUGAAAAAAUUGAAAUUAUAACUUCUUUCAAUAAAAAUAUCUUUUAACAAUUUUUGAAUUUUUAUCCCUCAUUAAACAGUUUUUUGGAUAAAAAGUUGAAGGGGUAAAAAUGCCAAAAUGAGGUUAUAUAUAUGUAAUUUGCAAUACAUAAAAGUUAUAUUUUUUUCAACAUUUUCGCAUCCUUUAUAAUCCAAUAUUUCGAUGAAAAACUAUUUUUCGAACUUGAAAAUAAGUUUGAUAAUUCUUUGAUAGAAAAUUUAUUUUGAAAAUGUGGCAUUUUUUGAGAAUAUUUUUUUUUUUUUUCAAUUAUUUUGGGUAUUAUAAAUAAAAGUUAUUUUAAAAAAAUAUUUAAAAGUUAAGUUAUAAACAGACUUAACUGUUUUUGAAAUUUUUUUACAAAGAAGAUGAUUUCUUUUUAUCCGACAUUAUAAAAGUGAAGAAAAUAAUAUGAGAAAAAAGAGAGGAAAAUAUUAAGGGAAAAAUGAAGAGGAAAAAUAUGAGGGACAAAAAUAAAAAGAAAAUUUUUGUUUAGUUGAAUAAAGGAAAAACAAUAUUAAAUCAUUUAAAGAAAAUAUUCCUUGGUAUUACUUUCAUAGCUUUUUCUUUGAUAUAAAAAAAAAGAAAAAAAAAUCAUUUUCCUUAACUCUUUUUUCAUACAUCCAAAUAUUAGAAAAUGAUUGCUUUUAGAUUAUUUUUUUUCAUUUCUUAUUACUUUUCAAAAAUCAAACAUAAUUUUAGAUAAAUGUAAAAAAAAAAAAAGAAGCAAAAUUUAUAAAAUAAAAUUUAUCCACUAAAAUUCAUAUUAAAAAUAAAAUUUCAAAUAUUAAGGGUUUGUUUGACAACUGUUUUCAAGAAUAGUUUUAUAUUUUUUAGAACAAAAAAAUUGUAAAACAUAUUUGGCAACCAAAAAACCAUUUUAUGUUUUAUGUUCCCAAAAUUAGAAAAUAUGAGAUUUUCAAAAAAUAUCUUUUAGUUAUUUUCAAUUAUUUUUUGUUGUUUUUGGAAAACUGUUUUAAAAAAUAAUUAUAAAAACAUGUAUAAUAAUUAAAAAUAAAUCUCUAGAUAUAAAAAUUAUUUUUAAAACAUAUUUAAAAAUAUUAAAAAUAGGUUAAAAAUUUUUCAGGUUUUCAAAUAGACUUUUAUUCUAGAAAACAUCAAAGAAUAAUUUAAAAAAAAUUUUAAAUCUAUUUUUAAAAACAGUUAUCAAACAUGACCUAAUCUUCUAACAUUAUGAGCACAUAAAGAGAUAGAGAAAACACUUUCCAUAUUUCAAAAGUCUUAUGAAUCUAAGAAAAUGUUAAAAAUAGGAGAAAAAAAAGUAAAAAAAAAAUGUAAAUUCUUUUAUUUAUUUAUUUUAUGACAAAAAAUAAGAAUUAAAAUUAAAUAUAAUAAAAUUUAUUUAAAAUUUUAUAGAUAUUCAAAUACUAAUUUAUAUAUAUAUAAGAGAAGGGUAAAAAUAGAAAAAUAAGGCAUGUUUGGUAACUGUUUUCGGAAAUAGUUUUGAAAAAUAAUUUUUUGAAAACUGUUCUUUGAUAUUUUGUAAAAUAAAAGUAUGUUUGCAAACGUAAUUUUUUUUAAUAUUUUAAAAUAUGUUUUAAAAGUAAUUUUUAUAUCUAAUAUAUUUUAUUUUUAAUUAUUCUACAUGUUUGUAUAAUUAUUUUUUAACAUAGUUCUCAGAAAAUAUGUGAAAACAAUAAAAAAUAAUCAAAAGAUAUUAUCUAAAAACACUAUUAAAAACAUAAAAUAGAAAAUAGUUUUUGGUUAUAAAACAUAUUUUCAUAGUUUUUUUGUUUUGAAGAAUAGAAAACUAUUUUAAAAAAUAGUUAUCAAACAAACCCAAGAAAUUAACGAUACUUCUUUAUCUUUUGAGUUGUUCUGCCAAAUUGGUCUCUUAAGACCUUUGGUUUCUGCCUAGACCGAUGAAAAAAAUGGGAUCACUUCUUAUGGACUUGUUGAAAAUGAUUCUGAUAUAGUUUACAACUUAUUAGAAAAAAAAAAAAUCGAUCUAGUGAGAUUCUCAUGAAUAGAAAAAAAUGGUAGUCAAUUUGAUAACGAUGAUAUUACUUUUUCAGAACUAAGGAAUACCUUAUAUAUAAUGUUUAGAAAAUCAAAUUUACAUAAUAAAAACUUUAUGAAUAUUCUGAAAUAAUUUUAAAAAAUAGUUUUUAAAAAUAUUUUUCAAUUAUUUUCAAGAUUAAAUUUGGAAACUCAAAUAAAAUAUUUAAAAAACAUUUUUUUCUUGCAUGAUACAAUUUUAAAAGCAUUAUCUUUAUUUUAGUUGUAAUUAACAAUUUAUAAAAUAAUACAACUAAAAUACCUGAACUUUAAAAAAUAAUUCGCUUGGAGAGUAAUUAAUUUUUUUUUAAAUAUAAAAAAGUGUUUUAAUUAGAAAAUUAUUUUCUAUUUCAGAUGAGGGGUUUUAUGUACUUUCCUUCCUCUUUCUUUCCCAUUUCCAUACCUUUUUCUCAAUCCUGUGGACAUCCAAGCAGAGCGUCUAUAUAAGGAGAUAUAACACAUCCCCUGAGUAUGGGGACACGUGAGAAGACAAAGACAAGGGAAGAAAAUGGGGGAGACGCUGGGGAAUUUGGGGUCUGUAAUGGCGACAUUGAUGUUCAUCUGGGCUAUGUUCCGGCAAUACUUCCCUUGCGACCUCAUCGAAAAAUACUCCCACAGAUUGAUGAAGUUUUUCUACCCUCACAUCCAAAUCACUUUCGAUGAAUACGGCAGAGGUCAUUUCAUGCGCCAUGAAUUCUACACCGCCAUCGAGACCUACCUCAGCUCCAAUACCGCCGACCAAGCCAACCGCCUCAAAGCCAACACCGCCAAAAACAACCAGUCACUGGUUCUCACCAUUGAUGACGGUGAAGAGGUUGAAGAUGAGUUUGAGGGAGUGAAGCUGUGGUGGACUCCAAGGACGAUCACAGCCGAAACUCGGACCUCCCGCUCCUAUGAGCAGCCGGAUGAGAAGAGGUACUACCGGCUGACUUUCCACAAGAAACACCGGGAUUUGAUCACCAAGAAGUACCUCAGUCAUGUGUUGAGGGUAGGGAAGGCGAUUAAGGUCAGAACCCGGCAGCGGAAGCUUUAUACCAACAGUUGGUCGAUGUGGAGCCAUGUGGUUUUUGAUCACCCUGCAACUUUUCAAACGCUUGCCAUGGAGGCUGAUAAGAAGAGGGAGCUGAUCGAGGACUUGGUUUCUUUCAGCAAGGCUGAAGAUUUCUAUGCAAGAAUUGGGAAAGCUUGGAAGCGGGGUUACCUCCUUUAUGGCCCUCCUGGGACGGGAAAAUCUACCAUGAUUGCUGCCAUGGCGAAUCUGUUGCUGUACGACGUCUAUGAUCUUGAACUGACGGCGGUCAGUGACAACACCAUGCUGAGGAAGCUGCUGAUGCAGAUUCCGAGCAAGUCCAUCACUGUGAUUGAGGACAUCGACUGCUCCCUCAACUUGACGGGUCAGAGGAAGAAGAUGAAGGAGAACAAGGCGGCCGAGGAGGAAGAGAAGGACCCCAUUAAAAAACAAGCGAAGGUAAGAGACUCUGAUGAAGGGAAAACCAGCAAGGUGACUCUCUCCGGGCUGUUGAACUUCAUUGACGGCCUUUGGUCGGCCUCCAAGGGGGAAAGGCUAAUAGUGUUCACGACGAACUACAUGGAGAAGCUCGACCCAGCUCUGAUUCGGCGAGGAAGGAUGGACAAGCACAUCGAAUUGUCAUACUGCAGCUUUGAAUCAUUCAAGGUGCUGGCGAAGAACUAUCUGGAGCUUGAUUCCCACCACCUGUUCGACACGAUUGAGAGGCUGUUGGGGGAAAGUAAAGUGACCCCAGCUGAUGUUGCUGAGCAUUUGAUGCCUAAGACAAGUGUGGCUGAUGUUGAAACAAGCUUGAAGAGCCUGGUUCAGGCAUUGGAGAUGGCCAAGGAAGAAGCAAUGUUGAAGGCCAAGGAAGAAGGCAAAGACAAGGAAGAAGGCAAAGAGGAGUCAUCUGCUAGGGAAGAAGAUUGAUGAUCAUUGGCAAUAGAGACUAUGAUUGUGUUUAUCCUUCUGAAUUAAUUCCUGGGAAUUAUGAAAUAUUGGUCAAGUUAAUAGUUUGGUAAUUGAGGUUAAUGGGAAAUGCAUAUGGUGACCAAUUCUGAAGAUCUUUUCUAGGGCUUAAGACAUGGGGGGAAAGGACAAGAGAAAUGAAAGGGGGAAAGUUUGUGCCUAAUGAAUAUUUUUACAGCAGGAGGAUGAAUGCCGAUCACUUCUAUUAUGGAAAUUGAAGACAUAAGUAAUAUAAACGUUAUUUGAGUUUGUUUGACGGUGAUUUUAGAAAGCAUUUUUAACAUUUUUAACAUUUGAAAAUUUUUAUCAUUCAAGUAUUAAAAAUGUUAUCAACGUUUUCUAUCAUUCUUAUUAAACAUACUUUUCAUUUAAUAAAAGAAAGUGUUUUUCAAUAGUUGCAGUCAUACUUGGUUUGACUAUGUUUGUAGAGAACAUUUAUAAUAUAAAUAACAUUUAUCAAGAAAUCAAACAUUUGAAAAGAUUAAUAUUUUGAAAGUAAGGUAAAUAUCUAUUUUUUUAAUAUAUUUUUAGAAUAUAAUAAGGCCUAUGAUUUAAUAAUUUAAAAUUUUAAAAAUGAAUUUUAACCAUAUUAAAUAAAAAAUCAUAUUAAAAUAAUUUAUUUAAGUUGUUUAAUUCCAUAUGGAAAAAAAGAUUAUUAUUUUUUAAUUAUUUAAUUUUUUAUAAAAGAGAAAAAAUAAUUUUUUUUAGGAAUCAAAUUAUAAUUGGAAAUUAAAUAUGAAAAACAUUUUUUUUGAAUUUUUUUUUUGUAUAAACGUAUUAUAAAUUUAGCAUAGUAUAAAAACACUCAAUCUUACUUAAUUUAAAGUUCAUUAAAAAAAAUUAAAAAAUAUAAUUAUAUGUAAAGGGAAAAACUAACAAACUUAUUCAAAUUGAAUUUUGGUUUAUGACUUUUUAAUGUUAAUCGUAUCAAUUUUGAGUUCAUAAUUGUAGUAUUAAUUGAUUCGAUUUUAGAAUUUUAAAUUAUUUUUAAAAAUGACUGAAUUUUAUAUAUAAAGUCUUAUUUGAUUUGAAAUAUAUUUGCCUUAAGAAAAAGAAAAAAUAGAUAAGUUGAAGGAGAAUUUUAUUAAAAUACAUAUAAUUUAAUACGAGACCAUAUUUAAAGAUUUCCGUAUCAUUAUUGGGUAAUGAGAGAAAAUGUAAGAAGAAAGAUACAAUGCUAUACUAUUUUUUUCUUUUUAUGAUUUUUUUUCUAAAUUUUUCUUUUCUUUUUAAAAACUAGUGAAAACAAAUUUUAUUUAUCUUUUAAAAAUUAUUUUCUAUUUCCCUUGCUUCUAAAAACAGUUAAAACAAGCACUUUUUGGAUGCAACACCUAGAAGGACAAUCUCCUCCUAGCUUCCUUCAUUCAUGGCUUCCCAUUAGUAGCUAUCUUUUCGCUAACUUCCACCGCGGUUUAACCAAUGACCGUCAACAUAUGGCAUAAAAAUAAAAAUAAGAAAAAACAUUAAAUUUAGAGUUAUUAGUUGCUCAAGAAACCUUUUGUGUUGGUUCCUAAAGUUAUAUUUUGUUUUUGACGUUAUGUUUGAUUUCUGAAAGUAUAAAAAUAAAAAACUAAGAAAAAUGUAUUUUUUGGAUUUAUAAUAAAAAUACAAAAAUAAAAUAAAAUAACUAAAAUGAGUAAAAAAUGUAUCUAUUUUGAAAAUAUUUAAUCUUUAUAAAAAAAAGAAAAAAAAUUGAAAUGAGUUUGAAGAAACAUAUAAAAAUAAAAAUUAAUAUUAAUUUUUAUUUUUAUUUUUUUCCCUUACAUUUUUUUCUCAAAAUUUCUAAAAUCCAAGUAGAGUAUAAAGGAAAUAAAAAUUAUUAAAAAAAAAUUAUUUUCUCACGAUGUAUCAUACAAAAUACGAGAGAAAAUAAAAUAUAAUUAAAAAUAAUUAAAACUUAUAUGUUUUCAAAUUAUUUAAUUUUUUUUAUAUAAACCAUGAAAAAUAAGUGAAAUAAGUUUUAAAAAUAUAUAAAAAUAAUUUAUUAAAUUUAAAUUUAUUUUUUAUUUUCUUUAAUUUUUUCUUUAAUGCAAAAUACCUGCAGAUAGAAUUUCCUCAAGGAUGGCAUAGAGUAGAAUGCUCCAUGAAGUGUGGCCCAGGCAGGCCCAACGACACAAUCAAGGACCAUGCCGUCCCGAGCCCAAGCCCAAGUCCAAGCUAAACUGAAAGCUAAGGGAGGGCCCAAUCCGAGAACGUAGCCCAUCAUGGAACCCAUAAGAGAAAACCAACCUAUGAAUUAAUGGCUCAUGCUCAAUUGCUAAUUCAUGAUUAACCAUUGUUUUAGUUGCCAACCAAGGUUAAGCCCUGAGUCAAUUUGUGCUUAUCACAUCCGCACAACAAUUUUGACCAAAAUACCAUUUUUUUUAAAUAUUUAUUUAAGCAUGAUAUAUUUUCAAAACUAAUAAUAAAUUUACAUAACUUUUUGAGAAAUUAACUGAAAAUCUUUUUUUUUUUCAAAGUACGACAUCAAUUCAAAUAAUGAAGUUGGUCGACUUCCCAUUAUAUUUUUUCCAACUAGUAUAGAUGGGGGAAGACUUUGAAAUUACCUUUUCCGCUUUUUUUUUACUCUAAUCGAUAGUAAUUGAAUUAGACAAAUAUUCUAAGAUUUUUAUUUUUUUUUAAUAACCGUGGAUGUCCGAGUUAGCUUAUGCUGGCCUCGACUAAUCUCAUGGGGCCUUGAAGUUAAGGGUCGGGACUCGAACUGGUGACCAUUGGGGAGCCAACCCAAGGUCAGACCAACUAAGUUAUCCCUCAAGAUUCUAAGAUUUUCAUAUCUUAUUUGAUGUUUGACGAUUUUUUAUUAUUAUUUAUUAGUAUAUAUAUUUUGUAAAUUCUAUUAACAUAAUUCAUUGUUGCUAGACUAUAUUCAAAUUAAUUUGUAAGCACAUUUAUUAUAUUUCAAACUAAAAAAUUUAAGGUUAUGCUUAGUUCCAGAAAGUACAAAAGAAAGAAAAAAAAUGUUGGACUAUAUUUGGUUUCUAAAAAAUGCUGAUGAAAGAAAAAAAUGUUAAAGUAAAUUAUUUUUUCAUAUUAGGUUAUAUUAUAGAAAAUGUAAAAGAAAAUUAAAUAUAAUUAAAAUUAAUUUGAAAUUUAUAUGUUUUUAAAUUAUUUAAUUAUGCUACAAUGGAGAGAAAAAAGUAAAAUGAGUUUAAAAAAUUGUAUAAAAAUAAUUUAUUAAAUUUAAACUUUUUUUUCUUCACUUGUUUUUUUUUUCUACUUUUCCUCUCUAUUUCCUUUUUUUCGCAUUUUCCUUCAAAUUUCCUGAGAACGAAACAUAACUUUAAUGAAAUCAAAUAUUUAGCCCACAUUAAUAUUCGAUAUACUUUUUCAAAAUUCAUAUUUUUGUUCAUAAACAUUAUAUAUUAUAUUAUUGUUGAACAUCAUAAGUUAUAUAUAUAUAUAUAUAUAUAUUUAAUAUAAGGACUUCAAUAUAUCUAUUAUAAUUAUUUGUUUUAUCAUUUUUAGAAGUUUUUUUUAAUUAAAGAGACAUAAAUAAAAAUAACAAAUGAGAAGAACACAAGAACUACAGUUUUGAAGGUACUUUAAAAAAAACCACUAAUCAGCUAAUACCAUAUAUAUAAUUUAUGGUCUCAUUACUUCAUACUUUGGUUUUAUUCUAUGAUUAUUUAUAUUAAAGAGCAUGUAUAUUGAAGUUAAAUUGAGAGAUGACGUGAACUUAAUGGGUUUGAGCCACCAUCUAUAGAUGGAUUGCAACAUGAUGUAGUGUCAUGACACAAUGAUAUGACGCAAUGGCUGCCGACAAGGCGUCAGCUACAACACUUCCCCAUUUAUUAAAUUAGAUAUAGAGAAGAUCGAUAAUGUUUAAAAAUAAUAAUAAUAGUAAAUGUCACAGCAUUUCUAUCCAUCUUUUUUCACACCUAUUGGUAAGGGUAGCAGCGUGGCUGACUCGACCUCAUCUGCCUGGUGGGCACCAGCGGACAAAGCUCCACUCGAUUACGAAGAACCAGCUGUAGUGUGAGCCUGUGCCUUUUCGUUUGGUCAUGGAGUGGAUCUUUCGACUUGGAAGGGAAAAAGGGAGGAAGGGAGGAGGACCCACAGUCCAGUGUCGUCGAAAUAUGGUCUAUAUGAGUUGCAUGUGUGGCACCCUUGCUCUAUAUUUUCACGUGGCAGAGAAUAUUUCCAGCGACUUCGAAGUUUGAAGUCGUUUUCCAAUCGUAUAUGGCAGCUGGGAAUGGUGGGUGCAUCUGACUCAUCUUUGAUGGGAUCUGCCGGGAAAGUAGUGUGGAUCCAAGAUUUAUUUAUAUAUAUAUAUAUAUUGAGUUACAAGCUUUGGUCCUGUUGGCUAACUUUCCUGCUAAGUUUAUAGAAAAUAGAUGGCUUUAAAUACGUUUUCUAGUUGUUUUUAUUUCUUUUUGGAUAAUUAAUUUAAAAAAUAUAUAUAAAAUUUACGAAAACAUUUCAAGUUCCUAAACAAACUUUUUUUCUAUAAAACAUUCUUUCAAAAAACCAUGAUGCCGUUUGGUAACGGUUUUUUAAAACAGUUUUGAAAAAUGGUUUUUUAGAAAAUUGUUAUUUGAAUUUUUGUAAAACAAAAAUUUGUUUUGGAAUCUAAAAUAUUUUUAAUCUAUUUUUAAUAUUUUUGAAAAAUAUUUUUUUAUGUCUAAAACUUUAUUUUUAAUCAUUAUACAUGUUUGUAUAAUUAUUUUUUUAAACGGUUCUUAAAAAAUAAAUGAAAACAAUUAAAAAAACUAAAAGAUGUUUUAUAAAAAUAUCAUAUUUUUCAUAUUUUUUGUUUUUGAGAAUAGAAAAUAGAAAAUAGAAAAUAGAAAACAGAUUUUUGGUUAUCAAAGGUAUUUUUCAAUUUUUUUUAUUUUAAAAAAUAAAAAAUUAUCCUAAAAAACAGGUAUCAUAUAGAACCUAUACUUUGUUUAAAAACAAAAUAACGAAGAAGAAAGAAGAGCAACUAUAAAGGUUUAUUUGAUUAAAAAAUUCAUUGAAAAUAAUGAUCUUCCUUCUUUGAAAAAACUGAAAUUAUAACUUCUUUUCAAUAAAAAUAUCUUUUAACAAUUUUUGAAUUUUUAUCCCUCAUUAAACAGUUUUUUUUUUUAUUUAUAGAAAGGGGUAAAAAUGUCAAAACAAGGUUAUAUAUGUAAUUUGCAGUACAUAAAAUUUAUUUAUUUUUCAACAUUUUCGCAUCCCUUAUAAUCAAAUAUUUCGAUGAAAAACUAUUUUUUGAACUUGAAAAUAAGUUUGAUAAUUCUUUGAUAGAAAAUUUAUUUUGAAAAUGCGACAUUUUUUUAGAAUAUAUUUUAAGUUAUAAACAAACUUAAUUGUUUUUGAAAAAAUUUAAAAAGAAGAUGAUUUUUUUUAUCCGACAUUAUAAUUAAAGUGAAGAAAAUAAUAUGAGAAAAAAGAGAGGAAAAUAUUAAGGGAAAAAUGAAGAGGAAAAAUAUGAGGGACAAAAAUAAAAAGAAAUUUUUUGUUUAGUUGAAUCAAGGAAAAACAAUAUUAAAUCAUUUAAAGAAAAUAUUCCUUGGUAUUACUUUCAUAGUUUUUUCUUUGGUAUAAAAAAAAAGAAAAAAAAACCAUUUUCCUUAACUCUUUUUUCAUACAUCCAAAUAUUAGAAAAUGAUUGCUUUUAGUUUUUUUUUUUUUUUUCAUUUCUUAUUAUUUUUCAAAAAUCAAACAUAAUUUUAGAUAAAUGUAAAAAAAAAAAAAGCAAAAUGUAUUAUAAGUUAUUUUAAAAAUCAAAUUUAUCCAUUAAAAUUCAUAUUAAAAAUAAAAUUUCAAAUAUUAAGGGUUUGUUUAAUUUGAUAAUUGUUUUCGAGAAUAGUUUUAUAUUUUUUAGAACAAAAAAAUUGGAAAACAUAUUUGGCAACCAAAAAACCAUUUUAUGUUUUAUGUUCCCAAAAUUAGAAAAUAUGAUAUUUUCAAAAAAUAUCUUUUAGUUAUUUUCAAUUAUUUGUAGUUGUUUUUGGAAAAUUGUUUAAAAAAAAUAAUUAUACAAACAUGUAUAAUAAUUAAAAAUAAAUCUCUAGAUAUAAAAAUUAUUUUUAAAACAUAUUUAAAAUAUUAAAAAUAAGUUAAAAACUUUUCAGGUUUUUAAACAGACUUUUAUUCUAGAAAACAUCAAAGAAUAGUUUUAAAAAAAAUUUCAAAACUGUUUUUAAAAACGGUUACAAAAUAAGGGCAUAAGCUUCUAACAUUAUGAGUACAUAAAGAGAUAGAGAAAACACUUUCCAUAUUUUAAAAGUCUUAUGAAUCUAAGAAAAUGCUAAAAAUAGGAGAAAAAAAAGUAAAGAAAAAAUGUAAAUUCUUUUAUUUAUUUAUUUUAUGGCAAAAAGUAAGAAUUAAAAUUAAAUAUAAUAAAAAUUAUUUAAAAUUUUAUAGAUAUUCAAAUACUAAUUUAUAUAUAUAUAUAUAAGAUAAGGGUAAAAAUAGAAAAAUAAGGCAUGUUUGGUAACUGUUCUGGGAAAUAGUUUUGAAAAAUAAUAUUUUGAAAACUGUUCUUUGAUAUUUUGUAGAAUAAAAGUAUGUUUGAAAACAUAAAAUUUUUUAAUAUUUUAAAAUAUGUUUUAAAAGUAAUUUUUAUAUCUAAUAUUUUUAUUUUUAAUCAUUCUAUAUGUUUGUAUAAUUAUUUUUUAAAAUAGUUCUCAGAAAACAAAUGAAAACAAUAAAAAACAAUCAAAAGAUGUUAUCUAAAAACACUCUUAAAAACAUAAAAUAGAAAAUAAUUUUUGGUUAUAAAACAUAUUUUCAUAGUUUUUUGUUUUGAAGAAUAGAAAACUAUUAUAAAAAAUAGUUAUCAAACAGAUCCAAGAAAUUAACGAUACUUCUUUAUCUUUUGAGUCGUUUUGCCAAAUUAGUCCCUUAAGACCUUUGGUUUUUGCCUAGACCGAUGAAAAAAAUGGGAUCACUUUUUAUGGACUUGUUGAAAAUGAUUCUAAUAUAGUUUAGAACCUAUUAGAAAUAAGAAGACGAUCUAGUGGGAUCCUCAUGAAUAGAAAAAGAUGAUAGUCAAUUUGAUAAUAAUGAUAUUACUUUUUUAGAACUAAGGAAUACCUCAUAUAAUGUUCAAAAAUUCAAAUUUACAUAAUAAAAACUUUAUGCAUAUUCCGAAAUAAUUUUAAAAAAUAGUUUUCAAUUAUUUUCAAGAAUAAAUUUGGAAACUCAAAUAAAAUAAUUUAAAAAACAUUUUUUUCUUGCAUGAUACAAUUUUAAAAGCAUUAUCUUUAUUUUAGUUGUAGUUAACAAUUUAUAAAAUAAUACAACUAAAAUACCUGAACUUUAAAAAAUAAUUCGCUUGGAGAGUAAUUAAUUUUUAAAAAAAAUAUAUAAAAAAGUGUUUUAAUUAGAAAAUUAUUUUCUAUUUCAGAUGGGGGUUUUAUGUACUUUCCUUCCUCUUUCUCUCCCAUUUCCCUACCUUUUUCUCAAACUUGUGGACAUCCAAGCAGAGCGUCUAUAUAAGGAGAUAUGACACAUCCCCUGAGAAUAUGGGGACACGUGAGAAGACAAAGACAAGGGAAGAAAAUGGGGGAGACGCUGGGGAAUUUGGGGUCUGUAAUGGCGACAUUGAUGUUCAUCUGGGCUAUGUUCCGGCAAUACUUCCCUUGCGACCACAUCGAAAAAUACUCCCACAAAUUGAUGAAGUUUUUCUACCCUCACAUCCAAAUCACUUUCGAUGAAUACGGCAGAGGUCAUUUCAUGCGCCAUGAAUUCUACACCGCCAUCGAUACCUACCUCAGCUCCAAUACCGCCGACCAAGCCAACCGCCUCAAAGCCAACACCGCCAAAAACAACCAGUCACUGGUUCUCACCAUUGAUGACGGUGAAGAGGUUGAAGAUGAGUUUGAGGGAGUGAAGCUGUGGUGGACUUCAAGGACGAUCACAGCCGAAACUCGGACCUCCCACUCCUAUGAGCAGCCGGAUGAGAAGAGGUACUACCGGCUGACUUUCCACAAGAAACACCGGGAUUUGAUCACCAAGAAGUACCUCAGUCAAGUUUUGACACAAGGGGAGGCGAUUAAGGUCAGAACCCGGCAGCGGAAGCUUUAUACCAACAGUUGGUCGAUGUGGAGCCAUGUGGUUUUUGAUCACCCUGCAACUUUUCAAACGCUUGCCAUGGAGGCUGAUAAGAAGAGGGAGGUGAUCGAGGACUUGGUUUCUUUCAGCCAGGCUAAGGAUUUCUACGCAAGAAUUGGGAAAGCUUGGAAGCGGGGUUACCUCCUUUAUGGCCCUCCUGGGACGGGAAAAUCUACCAUGAUUGCUGCCAUGGCGAAUCUGUUGCUGUACGACGUCUAUGAUCUUGAACUGACGGCGGUCAGUGACAACACCGUGCUGAGGAAGCUGCUGAUGCAGAUUCCGAGCAAGUCCAUCACUGUGAUUGAGGACAUCGACUGCUCCCUCAACUUGACGGGUCAGAGGAAGAAGAUGAAGGAGAACAAGGCGGCCGAGGAGGAAGAGAAGGGCCCCAUUAAAAAACAAGCGAAGGUAGGAGACUCUGAUGAAGGGAAAACCAGCAAGGUGACUCUCUCCGGGCUGUUGAACUUCAUUGACGGCCUUUGGUCGGCCUCCAAGGGGGAAAGGCUAAUAGUGUUCACGACGAACUACAUGGAGAAGCUCGACCCAGCUCUGAUUCGGCGAGGAAGGAUGGACAAGCACAUCGAAUUAUCAUACUGCAGCUUUGAAUCAUUCAAGGUGCUGGCUAAGAAUUAUCUGGAGCUUGAUUCCCACCACCUGUUCGACACGAUUGAGAGGCUGUUGGGGGAAAGUAAAGUGACCCCAGCUGAUGUUGCUGAGCAUUUGAUGCCUAAGACAAGUGUGGCUGAUGUUGAAACAAGCUUGAAGAGCCUGGUUCAGGCAUUGGAGAUGGCCAAGGAACAAGCAAUGUUGAAGGCCAAG